UAAGAUUUCACAGAAAUUUGGAACUCUCGAAGGAAUCAACUUCUUCGGAUUCCGAGUACUAUCCCUCACACCCCACUGUCCCCACUAUCCGAGCGGCCGUCACUUCUGCGUUUCCUCGCGUACCGUCCACAUUCACUUUUCGCGGCGAACGAAGCAAACGCAAGUGUUUUGGUAAUUUGCCGUGUCACAAGUUCUAAUCACGUGCAAAUUUUCACGCGGCCAGUGUGUAUACAUAUAUUUGUUACAAACAACAAUAAUCUUGUGAGUGCAACAAUGGAUGAGUUGCGUCGCACGGCUGAACCGAAAAAAGGUUAAAUUUGACGCGCCGACGAACGAAUCGUUCGUUGCAAUGGAAUUCAACCCGAAAAGGAAGGAUUCUCCGUCAACUCGGCCACUUUUUUUUCGACCAUCUCAGAUCUGCCCCAUAAUUGGUUACAUCAAAGUACUACUAGAAGGAUAAUCCGUCGUAACCGUUGGACGGACGCAAUGUCACAUGCCGCGAGGAUAUCUUCAUGGAAUGGUGAACUAUGUUCAAAUGACAUUACUUCGCAAUGGAUGUUAGAAACUCCCAUCAACCGGGAGAAGGAAACUGUUUCGCACAACCCG
rnacentral:lncRNA from 1 species